rnacentral:rRNA from 1 species
UACGUAGGGUGCGAGCGUUAAUCGGAAUUACUGGGCGUAAAGCGUGCGCAGGCGGUUCUCCAAGUCCGUUGUGAAAGCCCCGGGCUCAACCUGGGAAUGGCAGUGGAAACUAGGGGACUGGAAUCUGGCAGAGGGGGGUGGAAUGCCGCGUGUAGCAGUGAAAUGCGUAGAGAUGCGGCGGAACACCGAUGGCGAAGGCAGCCCCCUGGGCUGAGAUUGACGCUCAGGCACGAAAGCAUGGGGAGCAAACAGG